UGGUGUCACUUCUGCAUGCAACCCUUCUUCUUCCUCAAACUCAAAUUCCAGAAGCCAUCAUUUUCUCCUCCUUCUCUCUAAGCUCUCCAACAUCUCUCUAGAUUUCUGACCAUUUCCCCUCCUCCGAUCAUCAACCUUCUUUUAGAAUAAAUCUUCCCGGCAAUGAGACCUUCCAAUUGCACCGAUCAUAAUCUUGUUUGGAGCACUUUGGAAUCUCGAAGCCAUAGGAGUAGUACUCUCAAAGACUUAGAAGAAAUAACUGGAGUUAGAGGUAAGGGAAGCUUAUAAAUUUAAUUAUGAUGAUUUUGUAUGUAUGAUUUUAUGAGUAUGU
rnacentral:lncRNA from 1 species